AUUGAACGCUGGCGGCAGGCUUAACACAUGCAAGUCGAACGGGGUGAUGGUGCUUGCACUAUCACUUAGCGGCGGACGGGUGAGUAAUGCUUAGGAAUCUGCCUAUUAGUGGGGGACAACAUCUCGAAAGGGAUGCUAAUACCGCAUACGUCCUACGGGAGAAAGCAGGGGAUCACUUGUGACCUUGCGCUAAUAGAUGAGCCUAAGUCGGAUUAGCUAGUUGGCGGGGUAAAGGCCUACCAAGGCGACGAUCUGUAGCGGGUCUGAGAGGAUGAUCCGCCACACUGGACUGAGACACGGCCCAGACUCCUACGGGAGGCAGCAGUGGGGAAUAUUGGACAAUGGGGGGAACCCUGAUCCAGCCAUGCCGCGUGUGUGAAGAAGGCCUUAUGGUUGUAAAGCACUUUAAGCGAGGAGGAGGCUCUUUUGGUUAAUACCCAAGAUGAGUGGACGUUACUCGCAGAAUAAGCACCGGCUAACUCUGUGCCAGCCGCCGCCGUAA
rnacentral:rRNA from 1 species